AAGGCCAAUGAACGUUGCAAUGGUCCGGUGGAGGGACAUGACAUUCUCAAAAAGGAUCCAAAAAACCACCAAGUGGAAUGAUCUGAGAAUCAGCAAAAAGAACACAAGAAAUUCUUUAAGAAAUUUUUUUUUUUUUAAGGAAACAAAAGAGAGAGGGUUGGUUGGUUACCUUGGACAGGGCAAUGCAUUGAGAAGUGUCACAGCUAAAGGGAUAUAAACAGCACCCCAAAGGGGAACUUUGACCUCUGGGAUCAAAACAGUUGCAGGGAGAACAAGGCAAUAGAAGACGAAUGUGACAAUAUGCGCGACGAUUUUGUUGACAAGGAAAAAGGCGUAUAUCAGAUACACUUUCCUCCAUACUGAGACAUUCUACAAGUACGUGUUCGAGUCAAAUGAAUCAAUAACUCAAAAAGUUGCAUAAACAUUUUCAAAGUUUUGACAUGUUUAAGAUUGAGUGGUUUAAUUUGUGAUUGUGUUUCUACCUUGCUUGUCACUAUCUCCAUCACCAUUUUCUUGAAAAGAAAGGCAGGGCCACAUGACCACCUAUGCUGCUGGUAUCUGUAUGCCUUGAAGCUGCUUGGUAAUUCACUUUUCACCUAUAUAUAAUUCAUUACUCCAUAUUGUUAUGUUCAUCAAAACCUUGAUCUUCUCACUCCAAUUUUCAUGUGAAUAAAUAUACUGAAGAAGCAAGCAAGAAUUUUACCCUGACAUCACCAAGAAACACAAAUUUCCAGCCCUUGAGAGCAGCUCUGCAACCCAGAUCCAUAUCUUCCACAGUUGUAUAUAUAUGUGUGUGUAUAUAAGGUACGUACCAUUGAAGCCAAAAAAUGCAUGGACUGCAGACCCAACUUCUUGCUCCACUGUGAAAUGGUAAUCCAUUGACAUCUCUUGCAUUCUUGUCAGCAUGCACUCAUCAGAGUUGACUGCCAUUUCAACACAAAACACUAUGUAAGCAUAACUGCACAAUUAAGGGAGUUUGAAGGUGAUGGAUAUCAUAUAUAUGAAGAGAAGCUGAAAUGCUAUACCGAAUUUCCAACGAGCUUGAACAAGCCCGAUUUCAGGGUUGUGCACCAGGAAAGGGAUGGCCCGGCACAAGAAAUCAGGGUCGGGUUCGAAAUCCGCAUCGAAAACUGCCACAUACUCACACAGCUUAACAUAGCUAUGCUUCAUUCCUUGCUUGAGGGAUCCUGCUUUGAACCCUUUUCUGUUUUCUCUAGUCUCAUACUUUAUGUUCACCCCUUUACCUGCCCAUCUCCUGCACUCUUGCUGGACUAAAGCCUGUUUAUUGUUAUUAAUUAUUACCUAACAUUUUAGAAAAAAACCCAAGACACUAACUAUUUUGAGCCAUAAUCAUAAAGGAAACAAACUAUGCAUUGUAAUAAGAAUCAUAAUGUUGCUUGUACUAAAUUUUGUGUUGUCUUUUGAUAUAUACCAUAAUUGCAGUAUCAGUUGAAUCAUCAAGAACUUGAACUAUGAUUCGAUCCGCCGGCCAUGAAAGGUUGCAAGCAGCUCCAAUGGACAAGUGAUAUACCUACAUAUACACAAAUUAAAGAAACCAUGCAUUAUUUAUUUAGCAUUAUAUUGUCCACUAAAGUUGGGAGUAUCAAUCCCCUUAUCCACAAUGAAAUAUAACAAAUGAAUUGCAAGA